GGGGCCGCAGCCUGAGAGACUUUAAUAAGAUGCUUAGAAAGCGAAGGCUCCACUGGCCAUGAGACAUGCUCCUGUGUCUUGCUCCUCUGAUGCAUCUUGAUUUUCUGCAGCUCAAGGAACUUGUCUAAGUUCUCUUCCUCAAACCAUUCCCAUUCCACAAGGAAUUUGUUGCACAAGGCAUGGCAUGGGAAGCAAGAGGCUUUAUCAGAGUCAAGGACACAUUCUAGCCAGGCUAGACAAAAACACUCAAGGAGAGCACAAAACAAGACUAGGAGGGGGUAGGGCUGAGAAGAGUCCCAAGGGAAGCAUUUGUCUUCAGUCCCUAAGGUUCCCCACCCCAGCUAUUAAAAGAGCUGCAGUAGCCCAGCUUCAGACAUAGGUAGCAUCCUUUCCUUCCAAGAAUGUGUGAGCUGGGUCCUCCUACUGCAACAGGAAAGAAAUUAGGAGCCCACUCCCCAAGGGCAGAUUAGGCGUUAUCUGCAGUGGAAGGCCAAAAUGCUGGUGGCAGACCUCUACCUACAGCAGAAAUGGAAGAGUUUACAAGAGUGCAAUCACUCUCUUGGCCACUAAUUGGGGAUCCCAAGGGAACAGCACUGGUUCUGCUCUUGAAGAACAACAAUUAACCAACAGCUGCUGUGC